UACGUAGGGGGCUAGCGUUGUCCGGAAUCAUUGGGCGUAAAGAGCGUGUAGGCUGCUCGGUAAGUCCGCUGUAAAAGUCAAAGGCUCAACCUUUGAAUGUCAGUGGAUACUGCCGGGCUAGAGUCCGGAAGAGGCGAGUGGAACUCCUGGUGUAGCGGUGGAAUGCGUAGAGAUCCGGAGGAACACCGGUGGCGAAGGCGGUCUGCUGGGGUAAUGCUGGACACUGAUGCGCGACAGCGUGGGGAGCAAACAGGAGUUAGAU
rnacentral:rRNA from 1 species